rnacentral:rRNA from 1 species
AGAUUGAACGCUGGCGGCAGGCCUAACACAUGCAAGUCGAGCGGUAGAGAGGUGCUUGCACCUCUUGAGAGCGGCGGACGGGUGAGUAAUGCCUAGGAAUCUGCCUAGUGGUGGGGGAUAACGUUCGGAAACGGACGCUAAUACCGCAUACGUCCUACGGGAGAAAGCGGGGGACCUUCGGGCCUCGCGCCAUUAGAUGAGCCUAGGU